rnacentral:lncRNA from 1 species
AAGGGAAGGGAGAAGAAAUGUGUGGGAAAUAUCAGAAAGGGAGACAGAACGUAAAGACUGCUAACUCUGGGAAACGAACUAGGGGUGGUAGAAGGGGAGGAGGGCGGGGGGUGGGAGUGAAUGGGUGACGGGCACUGGGUGUUAUUCUGUAUGUUAGUAAAUUGAACACCAAUAAAAAAUAAAUUAAAAAUAAAUAAAUAAAAAAAAAUAAAAUGCAAAAAAAAAAAAAAAGAACUCUGGUCUCCUGUCUGUAAGUAUUCUGAUCAAGGAGAAACAAGAAUUUCGGGGGGCGGGGGUCAGGUGGUAUUUCUAAUGUUGCUGUAAAGAGUGGGUUUUUUUUGGAGCUGACUAAAGGAACUUUGAACAUUUCCAGAGACCUUAUCACUACUUCCCAUGAACUCAAUAAGAAAAAUGCAAGAGCGUGUGGAACAACAACAAAAAUCACAACAAAAAAAUUGUGGCUGAUAGAACUUCUUUUGGUGUUACCUCGUAUAUGAAUCCCUUUUCACGGUUGAGUCUGUGACCUCGGCUUGGCAUAGCAGUCUCACCAGGUCUGGUAUUGAACCAGAAUCCAGGGCUGGAAGUAUUCUUUCUGGUAGCAGCAGCAGUGAUAUCAGGCUCUGGUGACCACAGCCCUGAGGGCAUGAGCCACAGCCUCCUGCUAGGGCAACGGAGGGAGCACCUUCCCAGGGCACUGUAUCUGUAGUUACCUUGGCUAUGGAAAACAUCAUUGGUAUCGUUCCUCUGGAUCACUCAUCUCCUCUGCCAUCAUGAUAACCAACAACACUGGAAUGCAAGAGUCAAGAGAGCAGGAGGCUUGUCUGCCUUGGUUUCUCUUCACCUAGUGGCCAGCAGAGUCUCUAGUGCUUUGGAGCUGCUUAGUAAAUAUCAGCUGGCUGACAGAGGACCCCAUAGUCAACAACUUGACACUCAACAAAUGGACAUGGGAAAGCAAGCCUGCAAAGAUGAAUCUAAAAAGCAAGACAAAUGAAUAAACAAAUAAGCAAACAAAAAUUAGAAUCAGACCUAUAAAUGCAGAGAAUAAAUGGGUAGUUGCCAGAGGGAAGGGGGUAGAGGAAUUAGCAAAAUAGAUGAAGGGUCAUGGGAGAUACAGACUUCCAGUUUUGCAAUGAGUAAGUCACAGGGACAAAAGGAACAGAGUGGGGAAUGUAGUCGCUGAUAUUCUAAUAGUAUUGUAUGGUGACCAAUGGUAACUCU